GAUACCCCUGUAGUCCUGGCCGUAAACGAUGAACACUAGGUGUCGGGGGAAUCAACCCCCUCGGUGUCGUAGCCAACGCGUUAAGUGUUCCGCCUGGGGAGUACGCACGCAAGUGUGAAACUCAAAGGAAUUGACGGGGGCCCGCACAAGCGGUGGAGUAUGUGGUUUAAUUCGAUGCAACGCGAAGAACCUUACCAGGGUUUGACAUCCUGCGAAUCCCUUGGAAACUUGGGAGUGCCUUCGGGAGCGCAGUGACAGGUGGUGCAUGGCUGUCGUCAGCUCGUGUCGUGAGAUGUUGGGUUAAGUCCCGCAACGAGCGCAACCCACGUCUUUAGUUGCCAGCAUUGAGUUGGGCACUCUAGAGAGACUGCCGGUGAUAAACCGGAGGAAGGUGUGGAUGACGUCAAGUCAUCAUGCCCCUUACAUCCUGGGCUACACACGUACUACAAUGCUACGGACAAAGGGCAGCAAACUCGCGAGAGCUAGCAAAUCCCAUAAACCGUGGCUCAGUUCAGAUCGUAGGCUGCAACUCGCCUACGUGAAGGAGGGAUCGCUAGUAAUCGCAGGUCAGCAUACUGCGGUGAAUACGUUCCCGGGCCUUGUACACACCGCCCGUCACACCAUGGAAGUUGGCCAUGCCCGAAGUCGUUACUCCAACCCUUGUGGAGGAGGAUGCCGAAGGUGGGGCUGAUGACUGGGGUGAAGUCGUAACAAGGUAGCCGUACCGGAAGGUGC
rnacentral:rRNA from 1 species